AAACUUUCAACAACGGAUCUCUAGGCUCUUGCAUCGAUGAAGAACGCAGUGAAAUGCGAUAAGUAAUGUGAAUUGCAGAAUCUCGUGAAUCAUUGAAUCUUUGAACGCACAUUGCGCCCUAUGGUAAUCCGUAGGGCAUGCCUGUCUGAGCGUCAGCU
rnacentral:rRNA from 1 species